AUUGAACGCUGGCGGCAGGCCUAACACAUGCAAGUCGAACGAGUGGCGGACGGGUGAGUAAUGUCUGGGAAACUGCCCGAUGGAGGGGGAUAACUACUGGAAACGGUAGCUAAUACCGCAUACCAUCAGAUGUGCCCAGAUGGGAUUAGCCAGUUGGUGGGGUAACGGCUCACCAAGGCGACGAUACCUAGCUGGUCUGAGAGGGUGACCAGCCACACCGGAACUGAGACACGGUCCAGACUCCUACGGUAGGCAGCAGUGGGGAUUAUUGCACAAUGGGCGGAAGCCUGAGGCAGCCAUGCCGCGUGUAUGAAGAAGGCCUUCGGGUUGUAAAGUACUUUCAGCGGGGAGGCGUUACCCGCAGAGGAAGCACCGGCUAACUCCGUGCCAGCAGCCGCGGUAAUAC
rnacentral:rRNA from 1 species